CAACAGAGUUAUAGAGAUGGUGGAAGAGACUCUCUUCCAGAAAGCGGUUCAGCAUGGCAACCUAGCUUGAAUUCCUUUGGCAAUACACUCUCCUGGCAGUCUCUAGGAGGAAGCUUCUUCAUGCAAGCAAAUAGGAGUCCUCAGCCGCUCCGCUGCUCGCUUGGUUUUCUCCGUAGACGCGAGCUACCAAAGACAGAUAUUCAUAAUGAAAUAGAUGUCUGGAUAAUGAAGUAGACUUUCGCAGUCCUAAUGGCAUUGAAGCCUACAGAGGCUGGAAAAAGAGCAACUUGCACGGCACCCUCCAGGGCUGCUGAAUU